rnacentral:rRNA from 1 species
CCUACGGGAGGCAGCAGUGAGGAAUAUUGGUCAAUGUACGAGAGUCUGAACCAGCCAAGUAGCGUGAAGGCUGACUGCCCUAUGGGUUGUAAACUUCUUUUAUAUGGGAAUAAAAUGUUCCACGUGUGGGAUUUUGUAUGUACCAUAUGAAUAAGGAUCGGCUAACUCCGUGCCAGCAGCCGCGGUAAUACGGAGGAUCCGAGCGUUAUCCGGAUUUCUUGGGUUUAAAGGGAGCGUAGGUGGAUUGUUAAGUCAGUUGUGAAACUUUGCGGCUCAACCGUAAAAUUGCAGUUGAAACUGGCAGUCUUGAGUACAGUAGAGGUGGGCGGAAUUCGUGGUGUAGCGGUGAAAUGCUUAGAUAUCACGAAGAACUCCGAUUGCGAAGGCAGCUCACUGGACUGCAACUGACACUGAGGCUCGAAAGUGUGGGUAUCAAACAGGAUUAGAUACCCCAGUAGUC